rnacentral:rRNA from 1 species
GACGAACGCUGUCGGCGUGCUUAACACAUGCAAGUCGAACGAAGUGGCGAACGGGUGAGUAACGCGUAAUCAACCUGCCCUUCAGAGGGGGACAACAGUUGGACACGACUGCUAAUACCGCAUCCCGAAGGUGGGGAUUGCGUCUGAUUAGCUAGUUGGAUGGGUAAAGGUCCACCAAGGCGAUGAUGAGUAGCAGGUCUGAGCGGAGGAACGGCCACAUUGUGACUGAGACACGGCCCAGACUCCUACGGCAGGCAGCAGUGGUGAAUCUUCCGAAAUGGACGAAAGUCUGACGGAGCAACGCCGCGGGAGUGAUGACGGCCUUCGGGUUGUUAAGCUCUGUUAAUCGGGACGCGGUACCGGAAUAGAAAGCCACGGCUAACUACGUGCCAGCAGCCGCGGUAAUUC